rnacentral:rRNA from 1 species
GAACGGGUGAGUAACACGUGGGUGAUCUGCCCUGCACUUUGGGAUAAGCCUGGGAAACUGGGUCUAAUACCGAAUAUGACCAUGCGCCUCCUGGUGUGUGGUGGAAAGCUUUUGCGGUGUGGGAUGNNNNNGCGGCCUAUCAGCUUGUUGGUGGGGUAAUGGCCUACCAAGGCGACGACGGGUAGCCGGCCUGAGAGGGUGACCGGCCACACUGGGACUGAGAUACGGCCCAGACUCCUACGGGAGGCAGCAGUGGGGAAUAUUGCACAAUGGGCGCAAGCCUGAUGCAGCGACGCCGCGUGAGGGAUGACGGCCUUCGGGUUGUAAACCUCUUUCAGCACAGACGAAGCGCAAGUGACGGUAUGUGCAGAAGAAGGACCGGCCAACUACGUGCCAGCAGCCGCGGUAAUACGUAGGGUCCGAGCGUUGUCCGGAAUUACUGGGCGUAAAGAGCUCGUAGGUGGUUUGUCGCGUUGUCCGUGAAAACUCACAGCUUAACUGUGGGCGUGCGGGCGAUACGGGCAGACUUGAGUACUGCAGGGGAGACUGGAAUUCCUGGUGUAGCGGUGGAAUGCGCAGAUAUCAGGAGGAACACCGGUGGCGAAGGCGGGUCUCUGGGCAGUAACUGACGCUGAGGAGCGAAAGCGUGGGGAGCGAACAGGAUUAGAUACCCUGGUAGUCCACGCCGUAAACGGUGGGUACUAGGUGUGGGUUUCCUUCCUUGGGAUCCGUGCCGUAGCUAACGCAUUAAGUACCCCGCCUGGGGAGUACGGCCGCAAGGCUAAAACUCNAAGAAAUUGACGGGGGCCCGCACAAGCGGCGGAGCAUGUGGAUUAAUU